rnacentral:pre_miRNA from 9 species
UCUCGAUAGCGUUAAAGUUAACUCAAAUUUGUAUGGAGUUGAAACUAUUGCUUACGUUGGCCGCUAGAGGCGCUGUUCCAACUGCAUACAAAUUAGAGUUAACUUUUACGCUAUCGA